rnacentral:rRNA from 1 species
CUCGCCUCUUUGAAGUCGGAAUCGCUAGUAAUCGCAGAUCAGCAUGUUGCGGUGAAUACGUUCCCGGGUCUUGUACACACCGCCCGUCAAACCAUGAGAGUCACCAACACCCGAAGUCCGCCUUGGCGGCCUAAGGUGGGGGAGAUGAUUGGGGUUAAGUCGUAACAAGGUAUC